rnacentral:lncRNA from 1 species
UGUGCAAAAUUCAAGGAAACGACUUCGGCUGUGAAAAUUUUCUAUACUUCCUCCAAUCGAAACUCGAACUUGGAAGUAGGGAAACUGGUGUUGGGUGUAAAACCCCCCCAGUCAAAGUUCGUGUCAGGAGUGACCCCUCGGGGAUUCUACAGGAAAACUUCGUCCGGACUCCUACGGGAGUCAGACUCCAUCUCCAACUUCGACUGC